rnacentral:rRNA from 1 species
CCUACGGGGAGGCAGCAGUGAGGAAGAUUGGCCAAGGGAGGAGAGGUGGAACCAGCCAAGGAGCGUGAAGGAUGAAUGCCCGAUGGGUUGGAAACUUCUUUUAGAUGGGAAUAAAAUGUUCCACGUGUGGGAUUUUGUAUGUACCAUAUGAAUAAGGAUCGGCUAACUCCGUGCCAGCAGCCGCGGUAAUACGGAGGAUCCGAGCGUUAUCCGGAUUUAUUGGGUUUAAAGGGAGCGUAGGUGGAUUGUUAAGUCAGUUGUGAAAGUUUGGGGCUCAACCGUAAAAUUGCAGUUGAUACUGGCAUCCUUGAGUACAGUAGAGGUAGGCGGAAUUCGUGGUGUAGCGGUGAAAUGCUUAGAUAUCACGAAGAACUCCGAUUGCGAAGGCAGCCUGCUGGACUGUAACUGACGCUGAUGCUCGAAAGUGUGGGUAUCAAACAGGAUUAGAUACCCCUGUAGUC